rnacentral:rRNA from 1 species
AUUGAACGCUGGCGGCAGGCCUAACACAUGCAAGUCGAACGAGUGGCGGACGGGUGAGUAAUGUCUGGGAAACUGCCCGAUGGAGGGGGAUAACUACUGGAAACGGUAGCUAAUACCGCAUACCAUCGGAUGUGCCCAGAUGGGAUAAGCCAGUAGGUGGGGUAAAGGCUCACCUAGGCGACGAUCCCUAGCUGGUCUGAGAGGAUGACCAGCCACACUGGAACUGAGAAAAGGUCCAGACGCCUAGGGGAGGAAGCAGUGGGGAAUAUUGCACAAUGGGCGCAAGCCUGAUGCAGACAUGACGAGUGUAUGAAGAAGGCCUGCGGGUUGUAAAGUAAUUUCAGCGGGGAGGCGUUAACCGCAGAAGAAGCACCGGCUAACUCCGUGCCAGCAGCCGAGGAAAUUC